GGGAUAUUGGUCAAUGGGGGGAACCCUGAACCAGCCAUGCCGCGUGAGGGAAUGAGGCCCUACGGGUCGUGAACCUCUUUUAUUCGGGGACAAGGACGCGGUCGGGAACCGUGUUUGAGGGUACCGAAGGAAUAAGCGUCGGCUAACUCCGUGCCAGCAGCCGCGGUAAUACGGAGGACGCGAGCGUUAUCCGGAUUUAUUGGGUUUAAAGGGUGCGUAGGCGGAGCUUUAAGCGUGAGGUGAAAUGCCCGGGCUCAACCUGGGAACUGCCUCGCGAACUGGAGUUCUGGAAUGCCCCUGCCGUGGGAGGAAUGUGUGGUGUAGCGGUGAAAUACAUAGAGAUCACACAGAACACCGAUUGCGAAGGCAUCUCACGAAGGGGUGAUUGACGCUGAGGCACGAAAGCGUGGGGAUCAAACA
rnacentral:rRNA from 1 species